rnacentral:rRNA from 1 species
CCCUUAGAUGUCCGGGGCCGCACGCGCGCUACACUGAAGGAAUCAGCGUGGCUCUGUCCCUGGUCCGAAAGGAUUGGGAAACCCGUUGAAUCUCCUUCGUGAUAGGGAUUGGGGCUUGGAACUGUUCCCCAUGAACGAGGAAUUCCCAGUAAGCGCGAGUCAUAAGCUCGCGUUGAUUACGUCCCUGCCCUUUGUACACACCGCCCGUCGCUACUACCGAUUGGGUGCUCCGGUGAAUUGUUUGGACUGCUGUCAGUCUUUUUGGCUGUCGGCGAGAAGCUCUGUGAACCUUAGCACCUAGAGGAAGGAGAAGUCGUAACA